ACAAGCGGUGGAGCAUGUGGUUUAAUUCGAUGCAACGCGAAGAACCUUACCUGGUCUUGACAUCCCGGAGACCCUUAGGAAACUAGGGGGUGGCUUCCAUCUGGAAGAAUCUGGAGACAGGUGCUGCAUGGCUGUCGUCAGCUCGUGUCGUGAGAUGUUGGGUUAAGUCCCGCAAUGAGCGCAACCCUUGCCUUUAGUUGCCAGCAGUUCGGCUGGGCACUCUAAAGGGACUGCCGGUGUUAAACCGGAGGAAGGUGGGGAUGACGUCAAGUCCUCAUGGCCUUUAUGACCAGGGCUACACACGUACUACAAUGGCCGAUACAAAGGGCAGCGACACUGCGAGGUGAAGCCAAUCCCGUAAAAUCGGUCUCAGUCCGGAUUGGAGUCUGCAACUCGACUCCAUGAAGUUGGAAUCGCUAGUAAUCGUGGAUCAGCAUGCCACGGUGAAUACGUUCCCGGGCCUU
rnacentral:rRNA from 1 species